UCCUGGUGGCUUAGAUGGUAAAGCAUCUGCCUGCAAUGCGGGAGACCUGGGUUUGAUCCCUGGGUCGGGAA
rnacentral:tRNA from 1 species